UACGUACUCCCUUCGUCCCAAAAUAUAAGGGAUUUUGAAUGGAUGAAUAUUUCCUAAGGAAAUAUUCAUCCAUUCAAAAUCCCUUAUAUUUUGGGACGGAGGGAGUAUAUU
rnacentral:pre_miRNA from 1 species